UGUGCUAAUACCGCAUAAUCUCUGAGGAGAAAAGCAGGGGAUCGCAAGACCUUGCGCUUUUGGAGCGGCCGAUGUCUGAUUAGCUAGUUGGUGGGGUAAUGGCCUACCAAAGCUUCGAUCAGUAGCUGGUCUGAGAGGACGACCAGCCACACUGGGACUGAGACACGGCCCAGACUCCUACGGGAGGCAGCAGUGGGGAAUUUUGGACAAUGGGCGCAAGCCUGAUCCAGCCAUGCCGCGUGAGUGAAGAAGGCCUUCGGGUUGUAAAGCUCUUUCAGCCGGGAAGAAAAGGUUGUGAUUAAUAAUCACAACUCAUGACGGUACCGGAAGAAGAAGCACCGGCUAACUACGUGCCAGCAGCCGCGGUAAUACGUAGGGUGCGAGCGUUAAUCGGAAUUACUGGGCGUAAAGGGUGCGCAGGCGGUUUUGUAAGUCAGAUGUGAAAUCCCCGGGCUUAACCUGGGAACUGCGUUUGAAACUACAAGACUAGAGUGUAGCAGAGGGGGGUGGAAUUCCAUGUGUAGCAGUGAAAUGCGUAGAGAUAUGGAGGAACACCGAUGGCGAAGGCAGCCCCCUGGGUUAACACUGACGCUCAGGCACGAAAGCGUGGGUAGCAAACAGGAUUAGAUACCCUGGUAGUCCACGCCCUAAACGAUGUCAACUAGUUGUCGGGUCUCAAUAGACUUGGUAACGUAGCUAACGCGUGAAGUUGACCGCCUGGGGAGUACGGUCGCAAGAUUAAAACUCAAAGGAAUUGACGGGGACCCGCACAAGCGGUGGAUUAUGUGGAUUAAUUCGAUGCAACGCGAAAAACCUUACCUACCCUUGACACGUACCGAAGCUUGCUGAAAGGCAGGUGUGCCCGAAAGGGAGCGGUAACACAGGUGCUGCAUGGCUGUCGUCAGCUCGUGUCGUGAGAUGUUGGGUUAAGUCCCGCAACGAGCGCAACCCUUGUCAUUAAUUGCCAUCAUUUAGUUGGGCACUUUAAUGAGACUGCCGGUGACAAACCGGAGGAAGGUGGGGAUGACGUCAAGUCCUCAUGGCCCUUAUGGGUAGGGCUUCACACGUAA
rnacentral:rRNA from 1 species